rnacentral:rRNA from 1 species
GAACACAGGGAUUGCCUUAGUAACGGCGAGUGAAGCGGCAACAGCUCAAAUUUGAAAUCUGGCUCUUUCAGAGUCCGAGUUGUAAUUUGCAGAGGGCGCUUUGGCGUUGGCAGCGGUCCAAGUUCCUUGGAACAGGACGUCACAGAGGGUGAGAAUCCCGUACGUGGUCGCUAGUCAUCGCCGUGUAAAGCCCCUUCGACGAGUCGAGUUGUUUGGGAAUGCAGCUCUAAAUGGGAGGUAAAUUUCUUCUAAAGCUAAAUACUGGCCAGAGACCGAUAGCGCACAAGUAGAGUGAUCGAAAGAUGAAAAGCACUUUGGAAAGAGAGUCAAACAGCACGUGAAAUUGUUGAAAGGGAAGCGCUUGCAGCCAGACUUGCCUGUAGUUGCUCAUCCGGGCUUUUGCCCGGUGCACUCUUCUGCGGGCAGGCCAGCAUCAGUUUGGGCGGUUGGAUAAAGGUCUCUGUCAUGUACCUCUCUUCGGGGAGAACUUAUAGGGGAGACGACAUACAACCAGCCUGGACUGAGGUCCGCGCAUUUGCUAGGAUGCUGGCGUAAUGGCUGUAAGCGGCCCGUCUUGAAACACGGACCAAGGAGUCUAACAUCUAUGCGAGUGUUUGGGUGUCAAGCCCGAGCGCGUAAUGAAAGUGAACGGAGGUGGGACCCCGUAAGGGUGCACCAUCGACCGAUCCUGAUGUCUUCGGAUGGAUUUGAGUAAGAGCAUGGCUGUUGGGACCCGAAAGAUGGUGAACUAUGCUUGAAUAGGGUGAAGCCAGAGGAAACUCUGGUGGAGGCUCGCAGCGGUUCUGACGUGCAAAUCGAUCGUCAAAUUUGGGCAUAGGGGCGAAAGACUAAUCGAACUAUCUAGUAGCUGGU